rnacentral:rRNA from 1 species
AUUGAACGCUGGCGGCAGGCCUAACACAUGCAAGUCGAGCGGAUGAGGGGAGCUUGCUCCCUGAUUUAGCGGCGGACGGGUGAGUAAUGCGUAGGAAGCUGCCCGAUAGAGGGGGAUACCAGUUGGAAACGACUGUUAAUACCGCAUAAUGUCUACGGACCAAAGUGUGGGACCUUCGGGCCACAUGCUAUCGGAUGCGCCUACGUGGGAUUAGCUAGUUGGUGAGGUAAUGGCUCACCAAGGCGACGAUCUCUAGCUGGUUUGAGAGGAUGAUCAGCCACACUGGAACUGAGACACGGUCCAGACUCCUACGGGAGGCAGCAGUGGGGAAUAUUGGACAAUGGGCGCAAGCCUGAUCCAGCCAUGCCGCGUGUGUGAAGAAGGCCUUCGGGUUGUAAAGCACUUUCAGCGAGGAGGAAGGGAGUUGUGUUAAUAGCGCAGCUUUUUGACGUUACUCGCAGAAGAAGCACCGGCUAACUCUGUGCCAGCCGCCGCGGUAACAC